rnacentral:rRNA from 1 species
ACGUAGGGUCCAAGCGUUAUUCGGAAUUACUGGGCGUAAAGCGUUCGUAGGCGGUUUUGUAAGUUGGAUGUGAAAUCCUGUGGCUCAACCACAUGGACUGUGUCCAAAACUACAUGACUAGAGCAUAGUAGAGGCAAGUGGAAUUUCUGGUGUAGGAGUGACAUCCGUAGAUAUCAGAAGGAACACCAAUGGCGAAGGCAGCUUGCUGGGCUAUUGCUGACGCUCAGGAACGAAAGCGUGGGGAGCGAACGGG